GCUUUCUCCCCAGAUGCUGCUGGGGCGUAAAGCGAGCGUCGAGCAGGUUGCCGCCUGAUCGGCGCUCAUUUUUU
rnacentral:antisense_RNA from 1 species